GGGGAUGUAGCUCAGCGGGGAGAGCGCUUGCUUUGCAUGCAAGAGGCCCUGGGAUCGACCCCCAGCAUCUCCA